rnacentral:lncRNA from 1 species
AUGUGUAAGAAGCAGGUGUUUGAGACGCUGCACUCAAGGAAGGCUGGGGAAGUCAUUUGGUCUACAGCUGUGCACCUCGCAGAACCUGGCACCAACCAGGGAUCGAACGGAUGCUUGAAAAUAAAUGGCACCUGUGGAGAAAGUGCUCUGUCCCUGACUCUGUCAUCGGAGCCCGCAUUCGCCACCGCCAGCUCGAGGACCCUGGGCUCCGAGCUCUGCCUGCAGGAGAAGGGCUCUCUCUCUCUUAGCCAGGGGAUUCCUCUUCUGCUCCGGGAAGAGAAAAUGGGUCUGAGAAGGAACCAUCAUCCUACAAGGCAGAAGACCACUCCCAAACCAGCUGACCUUGGCUGUGUGCGGGUUGGACCUUUGCUACGUGACGCCCAAGGCAGGGCCUCUACCCAGCCCCACCUGCUGUCUGGGCCACAGCAUGACUUUCCGGGGCCCUGAGCUCCUUCGUCCUCCUGGACCCUUUCCUCCCUAAAAAAUACAAAUUUUGUUUCACAAUUGCCUCAGAAUGAAAGUGACUAGGGUCCGGGCUGGAUUCAUUA